rnacentral:rRNA from 1 species
GGCACCUACACUGCUAAAUCCGCCUACCACGCAUCCUUCCACGGAUCAAUCGCCUGCAACCACUGGAAGCUCACUUGGAAGAGUUGGGCGCCGCCGAAAGUGAAAUUCUUUCUCUGGCUUGUCAGCCUUGACCGCUGCUGGACGGCUGACCGCCUCGCACGACAUGGGCUUCAGCACCACACGGCGUGUCCCUUGUGCAACCAGGCCCCGGAGACGAUGCAGCACCUCCUGCUAGCCUGCCCCUCCUCGCGGCAGGUUUGGCACGAGAUCCUUUCCUGGAUGCACAUGACCUGCCGAGCGCCGGCCAAUGACAGCUCCCUGCUCGACUGGUGGCUCAAUGCCAGGCAAGACACCCCCCAGCUGAUGCGCAAGGGGCUUGCAUCCGCGACGCUUCUGACAUCCUGGAUGAUUUGGAAACACAGAAACGACUGCAUCUUCGACCGCGCGCAACCAUCCGUUCACACCUUAGUGAGUAGGAUCAAAGCCCACCUUAGUGAGUAG